rnacentral:lncRNA from 1 species
UAAAUACUUCUUUUUAACUCUUAAACUCUUUGGAAUACAUUUUUUAUUCUCAUAACCAUUGGGUUUCUCUCUUGUCGUGCUAUCCUUCAAGUGCAAUCAUUUUAGAUCCCUUGAUUUCGAAUAGUCCGUACUACAUUGGAGCAAACAAGAUCUCCGCAACACUCAUAGUUACUCAAUUACUUGAAGAAAAAAUUAUCACAUAACAGAAAGAUCGAUGAAGAAAGUGUUGCAAAU